rnacentral:rRNA from 1 species
AGCGAACGCUGGCGGCAGGCUUAACACAUGCAAGUCGAACGCCCCGCAAGGGAAGUGGCAGACGGGUGAGUAACACGUGGGAACGUACCCUUUGGCUCGGAAUAACUUGGGGAAACUCAAGCUAAUACCGGAUAAGCCCUUAUGGGGAAAGGUUUACUGCCGAAGGAUCGGCCCGCGUCUGAUUAGCUAGUUGGUGAGGUAAUGGCUCACCAAGGCGAAGAUCAGUAGCUGGUCUGAGAGGAUGAUCAGCCACACUGGGACUGAGACACGGCCCAGACUCCUACGGGAGGCAGCAGUGGGGAAUAUUGGACAAUGGGGGCAACCCUGAUCCAGCCAUGCCGCGUGAGUGAUGAAGGCCUUAGGGUUGUAAAGCUCUUUUACCCGGGACGAUAAUGACUGUACCGGGAGAAUAAGCCCCGGCUAACUUCGUGCCAGCAGCCGCGGUAA